AAUCAUUCCCCUUGCCCCUCCCAAAACCCACGAUGCCGCCACCACCAGAACCCGCACCUCAUCGCCGCUCCACAGCCUUCACUGCACCAGGAUUACUGGAGAAGAAGCAGAGUUAUUCAGGGAAAAUCGGACUUGAGCGCAGGUUGAAGAAGAUGCUUGUCGAACUUAACGAAUAUGAUCACGCUCGUCACAUUUCUAGACCCUUCAAUUUAAAAGAAGCUCUUUAGUUUCUGCCUUGUCACACAAAUGUUGGUUGAGAAUUUAGCGGCAAUGGCUUCUAAGGUGCAGACAAAAAUUCAAGUGUGUUGUGGCAAAAGAUAACAUCUAUUGGGAUCUAAACUACAUUUAAGGAGAAAGAGUCUAAAGCCUCGUACUUGCUGGAUAACUUUAAAGUUUAUGAUGGUGGCUUUGUUUGCUGUGAAUUGACGAACUGUCGAUAGAGCUGUGGCGAAGACAAGGGUAAAGACAUCUACCAAUCACUGUAGCGGGUUGCUGGGGAUGAGUACGUUGCUGCCAUACCUUCGGCAGGAGCGGUGGUGGUCAGGAUGGCGGCUAUUUGAUGCUACGGUCGUCAUCACUGGUAGCGAGUUUCCAGGGAUGAGUACGCUGCUGCCAUGGGGUCCCUAUUCAUGUUCUUGAAGAUGUUAAAGAUGCAACUCACAAGUUUUUUUGAGUUGCCAGCAGCUAAAGAAAAGAAGAAAUACUCGAAUGAUGCAACUCACAAGUUAUUUGAUUAUAUAUAAUAAUUACCUAUCGCGGAUCACGUGUGGGUCUAAACGGACUUAAUUAAACUAACGAACGAUACAUAUACAUCUAUCAAGGAUCACUGAGAUUUUUUACUGCAGGGUCCCGAUUUGUCUGAGCUUUACAAGUCCGCAAUAGAGGCGGCGACUGGGACUGCGUAUCUGGUUAGUUAUUCGGUUACCCUUACGACUUCUAUACACCCGAUUUAAAUAAAUCAAACCGCCUACGUGAACAAAUAAAUCUGACCAAAUGUCUUUUAAAUGUACUAACUAGUCUCCUAAAUACACUAAAGUCGUUUCACAUGUCAAGCCAAUGUAACCAACAUUACAAGAGCUUGGUUUUGGGAAUUGUUGAUACAUGAUUGUGGACGCGACUCGACUUGACGCACGUCGGCUCGGGCAACGGCAUUCCUCCGUCGUUUUGCUUUAAAGAUCGACAUGGGCCAAAAGACUUAAAGGAAAGGAACUAGUCCUUGGGCUGAAUCAAGACAAGAAACAAGACAUGGGCUUACUUUGUUUGGCGAAACAACUUUUGGGCCCAAGCCCAACAUUGAUGAAACACGUAGUUGACGAAACAAGUCUGUUUCGUCAACCUCAUUUGUGUUUCUUCAAAAAGU